AUCUAUUUUAUAAAUCUAUUAUAUAUAUAUUUAUAUAUAAGGGGCGGAUGUAGCCAAGUGGAUCAAGGCAGUGGAUUGUGAA
rnacentral:tRNA from 1 species